rnacentral:rRNA from 1 species
GACGAACCACACAAACGUUAUUCGGAAUUACUGGGCUUAAAGGGUGCGUAGGCGGCGCGGAAAGUUGGGUGUGAAAUCCCUCGGCUCAACCGAGGAACUGCGCCCAAAACUACCGUGCUCGAGGGAGAUAGAGGUGAGCGGAACUUAGGGUGGAGCGGUGAAAUGCGUUGAUAUCCUAAGGAACACCCGUGGCGAAAGCGGCUCACUGGGUCUUCUCUGACGCUGAGGCACGAAGGCUAGGGUAGCGAACGGG